rnacentral:rRNA from 1 species
UGGGGAAUAUUGGACAAUGGGGGGAACCCUGAUCCAGCCAUGCCGCGUGUGUGAAGAAGGCCUUAUGGUUGUAAAGCACUUUAAGCGAGGAGGAGGGUACUGGUAUUAAUACUACCAGGUACUGGACGUUACUCGCAGAAUAAGCACCGACUAACUCUGUGCCAGCAGCCGCGGUAAUACAGAGGGUGCGAGCGUUAAUCGGAUUUACUGGGCGUAAAGCGUGCGUAGGCGGCUAAUUGAGUCGGAUGUGAAAUCCCCGAGCUUAACUUGGGAAUUGCAUUCGAUACUGGUUAGCUAGAGUGUGGGAGGAGAUGGUAGAAUUCCCGGUGGAGCGGUGAAAUGCGUAGAGAUCUGGAGGAAUACCGAUGGCGAAGGCAGCCAUCUGGCCUAACUCUGACGCUGGAGUACGAAAGCAUGGGGAGCAAACCGG